UCCUUGGAGGACUAGUGGUUAGGCCUCUGCAGUCAGGCCUCUGCAGUCCCACCGCUGCAGCCCGGGUUCGAUUCCAGGCCAGGAAA